rnacentral:lncRNA from 1 species
GAACAAUCUCUCAGAUACUUAACUUCUUUAUCAGUAAAUGGUAGUCAUUAUGUUCCAUUCAAGAAAAACUUUUGUAUUAGAUUUUACCAUGUGCAUAAAGAGUUCACAACUUCUGAUCAAAAAAUUAUUGGGAAAAAGAAAAUUCCAAUGCUUGGAAAUACCUGUUACUCUAUAAGAUAUCUCAAGGUCAUUUGGAAUUAUUAUUUUCUUGCAAUCAAGCUAAGGGAAGUUACAAGAACAAUCCUAAUGUUGAUCAGUUUAGAUGGACUCUUAGAAAAUUGCUAUUUUGCAAAAAUAUCUGUGUUGAAUUUUAUAUUGCAUGGCAUCAUAGAUGCAAGUAACACCAAAAUCUAAAAUUUAUUGUUGCUACUUGCAUCUGUGAUGCCAUGCAAUAUAAAAUCUAUAUAUCAU